AGCCUUACCUGGACAGGAGAUUUUCCCUGAUCACGAAGGGGGUUCUCCUAAGGCGAGGCUCAUCAUUGCCCCCUCCGGUGUCGUGACCCCCUUUCGAUUUAACCCCAAAAGUGGUUUAAAAAGAGGCGCAAUUUUUGUAAGCGGGGGACUCCCUUCGCGCAUCCCCCCU